rnacentral:rRNA from 1 species
UAUAUGGAGAGUUUGAUCCUGGCUCAGGAUGAACGCUGGCGGUAUGCUUAACACAUGCAAGUCGAACGGGGUCCUUCGGGACUUAGUGGCGGACGGGUGAGUAACGCGUGAGGAUCU